rnacentral:lncRNA from 1 species
GCCCAGUCACAGCAUGAAGCGGUAACAGACAGUAGAGAAGCUCCUGCGUGUUAGGGAAGGCAUCACUGCGAUCGCUUCUAUUAACAUGGAGCCUUAGGAUGAUAUGAACCUGAUAAGACAUAAUGUAAAAGUGGAAAUUGAUUUUAAAUCCCAAGUUUACAAAUAGAAAUGGUUGUGUCCUUCAACUGACAUUUAAUCCUAAACCGCAGCUAUCGGGUGUUGAUGUCAUCAUAUUUACAGUACUUUGGGACCUUCCCUCCUCAUCAGCGUUGCAUCUUCACCACUAAUUCAUGUCCCACCGGGUUCUGAGGGGCGAGAAGCGGCAGCGAGGCGUCCAAUGCUACCAAAACCAGAUCACGUUGCCCCUAAGUGACGUUUUAUGGUGUUUGAUUGGGUUCGGUCGCCGAUCGCCAGGCAACAGAACUACGGCGGACAGCCAUCUGUCCCGUGGCCCGGUGAGGCCGGAUGCUUCCCGAUCCUGGAAUUCAGAUAUGCUGCAUCAGCAAAACCAUGGACCUGGGACGAGUUCUGAAAGACAACUGCAUGUCAGCCUCGAAGGUUCUGGCAUUAAUAUGUUAAUAUGUUAACACUCUUACUACUAAAAUAUAUCCUGCUGGAAUGAAUAAUAAAUGAGC